rnacentral:rRNA from 1 species
GACGAACGCUGGCGGCGUGCUUAACACAUGCAAGUCGAACGGAAAGGCCCUGCUUUUGUGGGGUGCUCGAGUGGCGAACGGGUGAGUAACACGUGAGUAACCUGCCCUUGACUUUGGGAUAACUUCAGGAAACUGGGGCUAAUACCGGAUAGGAGCUCCUGCUGCAUGGUGGGGGUUGGAAAGUUUCGGCGGUUGGGGAUGGACUCGCGGCUUAUCAGCUUGUUGGUGGGGUAGUGGCUUACCAAGGCUUUGACGGGUAGCCGGCCUGCGAGGGUGACCGGCCACAUUGGGACUGAGAUGCGGCCCAGACUCCUACGGGAGGCAGCAGUGGGGAAUAUUGCACAAUGGGCGGAAGCCUGAUGCAGCAACGCCGCGUGCGGGAUGACGGCCUUCGGGUUGUAAUCCGCUUUCGCCUGUGACGAAGCGUGAGUGACGGUAAUGGGUAAAGAAGCACCGGCUAACUACGUG